rnacentral:rRNA from 1 species
AAGCACCGGCUAACUACGUGCCAGCAGCCGCGGUAAUACGUAGGGUGCGAGCGUUAAUCGGAAUUACUGGGCGUAAAGCGAGCGCAGACGGUUACUUAAGCAGGAUGUGAAAUCCCCGGGCUCAACCUGGGAACUGCGUUCUGAACUGGGUAGCUAGAGUAUGUCAGAGGGGGGUAGAAUUCCACGUGUAGCAGUGAAAUGCGUAGAGAUGUGGAGGAAUACCGAUGGCGAAGGCAGCCCCCUGGGAUAACACUGACGUUCAUGCUCGAAAGCGUGGGUAGCAAACAGGAUUAGAUACCCUGGUAGUCCACGCCCUAAACGAUGUCAAUUAGCUGUUGGGCAACAUGAUUGCUUAGUAGCGUAGCUAACGCGUGAAAUUGACCGCCUGGGGAGUACGGUCGCAAGAUUAAAACUCAAAGGAAUUGACGGGGACCCGCACAAGCGGUGGAUGAUGUGGAUUAAUUCGAUGCAACGCGAAGAACCUUACCUGGUCUUGACAUGUACGGAAUCCUCCAGAGACGGAGGGGUGCCUUCGGGAGCCGUAACACAGGUGCUGCAUGGCUGUCGUCAGCUCGUGUCGUGAGAUGUUGGGUUAAGUCCCGCAACGAGCGCAACCCUUGUCAUUAGUUGCCAUCAUUUAGUUGGGCACUCUAAUGAGACUGCCGGUGACAAACCGGAGGAAGGUGGGGAUGACGUCAAGUCCUCAUGGCCCUUAUGACCAGGGCUUCACACGUCAUACAAUGGUCGGUACAGAGGGUAGCCAAGCCGCGAGGUGGAGCCAAUCUCACAAAACCGAUCGUAGUCCGGAUUGCACUCUGCAACUCGAGUGCAUGAAGUCGGAAUCGCUAGUAAUCGCAGGUCAGCAUACUGCGGUGAAUACGUUCCCGGGUCUUGUACACACCGCCCGUCACACCAUGGGAGUGGGGGAUACCAGAAGUAGGUAGGGUAACCGCAAGGAGCCCGCUUACCACGGUAUGCUUCAUGACUGGGGUGAAGUCGUAACAAGGUAGCCGUAGGGGAACCUGCGGCUG